rnacentral:rRNA from 1 species
AUACGAAGGGGGCUAGCGUUGUUCGGAAUCACUGGGCGUAAAGCGCGCGUAGGUGGAUCAAUUAGUUGAGGGUGAAAUCCCGGGGCUCAACCUCGGAACUGCCUUCAAUACUGUUGAUCUUGAGACCGAGAGAGGUGAGUGGAAUUCCUAGUGUAGAGGUGAAAUUCGUAGAUAUUAGGAAGAACACCAGUGGCGGAGGCGGCUCACUGGCUCGGUACUGACGCUGAGGUGCGAAAGCGUGGGGAGCAAACAGGAGUAGAAACCCUAGUAGUCC